rnacentral:rRNA from 1 species
UCUGGUUGAUCCUGCCAGUAGUCAUAUGCUUGUCUCAAAGAUUAAGCCAUGCAUGUCUAAGUAUAAGCAAUUUAUACGGUGAAACUGCGAAUGGCUCAUUAAAUCAGUUAUCGUUUAUUUGAUAGUCCCUUUACUACAUGGUAUAACUGUGGUAAUUCUAGAGCUAAUACAUGCUUAAAAUCUCGACCCUUUGGAAGAGAUGUAUUUAUUAGAUAAAAAAUCAAUGUCUUCGGACUCUUUGAUGAUUCAUAAUAACUUUUCGAAUCGCAUGGCCUUGUGCUGGCGAUGGUUCAUUCAAAUUUCUGCCCUAUCAACUUUCGAUGGUAGGAUAGUGGCCUACCAUGGUUUCAACGGGUAACGGGGAAUAAGGGUUCGAUUCCGGAGAGGGAGCCUGAGAAACGGCUACCACAUCCAAGGAAGGCAGCAGGCGCGCAAAUUACCCAAUCCUAAUUCAGGGAGGUAGUGACAAUAAAUAACGAUACAGGGCCCAUUCGGGUCUUGUAAUUGGAAUGAGUACAAUGUAAAUACCUUAACGAGGAACAAUUGGAGGGCAAGUCUGGUA